GUUCCGUCUUUCUUGGGAUCUCCUCUUGUCUGUGAUGUAUAAACAAGUGGUGCAACUAGAAAGGUUGCACAGCCUACUUCGUCUGGAGAGACUGGCAGGACCUCACAAACUCAGACUGACAUUGUACAGGAGGAAAAACAACUCUGCUGAAACGAACACACGUGACGGACCGAGUUGCUUUUCCCAAAAGGGCGGCGCUCUUGCUCCAUUCUGAAGAAAAAAAACAGCAACACAGCAACACAAAACUGACACAGCAACACAAAACUGUUCAGUGCAAUCCAGAUAUCCACUUUCUGAUGCCUUACCCUGAUGCC